CCUACGGGGGGCAGCAGUGGGGAAUAUUGGACAAUGGGGGCAACCCUGAUCCAGCAAUUCUGUGUGCACGAAGAAGGUUUUCGGAUCGUAAAGUGCUUUCAGCAGGGAGGAAGGAAGUGACUGUACCUGCAGAAGAAGCGACGGCUAAAUACGUGCCAGCAGCCGCGGUAAUACGUAUGUCGCGAGCGUUAUCCGGAAUUAUUGGGCAUAAAGGGCAUCUAGGCGGCCGGGUAAGUCCGGGGUGAAAACUGCUGGCUCAACCAGCAGCCUGCCUUGGAAACUACCCGGCUGGAGUGCUGGAGAGGUGGACGGAACUGCACGAGUAGAGGUGAAAUUCGUAGAUAUGUGCAGGAAUGCCGAUGAUGAAGAUAGUUCACUGGACGGCAACUGACGCUGAAGUGCGAAAGCUAG
rnacentral:rRNA from 1 species